rnacentral:lncRNA from 1 species
UAGGCGGUGGUAGAGUUUUUGUAGCUGGUGGUAGUAGCUUUUAUGGCUGGUGGUAGUAGUUUGUGUUCGUCGGAAACCUCACAGUAGUAGCUUUUGUAGGCGGUGAUAGUAGCUUUUGUAGCUGGUGGUAGUAGCUUUUAUAGCUGGUAGUAGUAAUUUUUGUUAUCGUCGGAGGUCGGCCGGAAACCUCACCGGAGGUCGGUCGGAAAUCUCGCCGGAGGUCGGUCGGAAACCUCGCCGGAGGUCUGCCGGAAACCUUGCCGGAUGUCAGCUGGAAAUCUGGCCGGAGGUCGGCCGGAGACUAUUCUGAAAUAAGAGUGGUUGUUGACUUUUUAUACUAGUGGCAUUCUUGUAAAUAUAAAAGAGAAAAUCUAAUUUUUUUGUUGGAUGGCAGUCUGUAAUUACGUUGAACUUCAAUACUUAAUAUAAAACCUUAUUUAGACUUGGGUGGACUUAUGUGGGUAAAAAUGUUGGGGUGGACCUAUGUGGGAAAAAAUGUCUCAAAGUGGACUUAUAUGUAAUUGGCCCUACAAUAAAUCUAUAUGAAUGCAAUUUAUAGUUACUUAGGGAUUCAAUCAAUCAAGAUUGAUUGAUUCGUGAAUCACUAUUGAUUUUUGGAGAGGAGUGAUUUACUCUGAUCACAGAGUGAUAAGUGAUUAGUGCUAACAACUAUUCUCUUUACUUGUAUUGAGAUGAGCCGUAAUAACAUUUCUUUUUAAUCAGUAGCAAACCAUCUUCGAUAUGUUUUAGUAAGUUAAUAACACAUCCAACAACGUCGUGAUGGAUGACAAAAGUAUCACAAUAAUACCAGACUAAUCUCUCACCGCAGGCAUAUGAACUUGAAGGCUCAUCAAACCGCUUCCUACAAACUGGUGGGAGUUGAGACUUAAACUCUAUAUAUGAGGAUUUCAAAACCAAUCU